AUUGAACGCUGGCGGAAUGCUUUACACAUGCAAGUCGAGCGGCAGCGCGGGGCAACCUGGCGGCGAGCGGCGAACGGGUGAGUAAUGCAUCGGAACAUAUCCAUGUCGUGGGGGAUAGCCCGGCGAAAGCCGGAUUAAUACCGCAUACGCUCGAGAGAGGAAAGCGGGGGACCGUAAGGCCUCGCGCGAUUGGGUUGGCCGAUGUCCGAUUAGCUUGUUGGUGAGGUAAAGGCUUACCAAGGCGAUGAUCGGUAGCUGGUCUGAGAGGAUGAUCAGCCACACUGGGACUGAGACACGGCCCAGACUCCUACGGGAGGCAGCAGUGGGGAAUUUUGGACAAUGGGGGCAACCCUGAUCCAGCCAUUCCGCGUGAGUGAAGAAGGCCUUCGGGUUGUAAAGCUCUUUUGUCCGGAGCGAAACGGGCGAGGUGAAUACCCUCGUCUACUGACGGUACCGGAAGAAUAAGCACCGGCUAACUACGUG
rnacentral:rRNA from 1 species